AUUGAACGCUAGCGGGAUGCCUUCCCCCUGCAAGUCGAACGGAGUGGCGAACGGGUGAGUAAUGUAUCGGAACGUGCCCAGUAUCGGGGGAUAACUACGCGAAAGCGUAGCUAAUACCGCAUACUCUUGGAGCGGCCUGUAUCGGAUUAGCUAGUUGGUGGGGGAACGGCUCCCCCCUGCCCCUCUCCGUAGCUGGUUUGAGAGGACGACCAGCCCCACUGGGACUGAGACACGGCCCAGACUCCGACGGGAGGCAGCAGUGGGGAAUUUUGGACAAUGGGGGAAACCCUGAUCCAGCCAUCCCGCGUGUGCGAUGAAGGCCUUCGGGUUGUAAAGCACUUUUGGCAGGAAAGCGGUACCUGCAGAAUAAGUACCGGCUAAAGAAGGGCCAGCAGCCGCGGUAAUUC
rnacentral:rRNA from 1 species